rnacentral:rRNA from 1 species
CCUACGGGUGGCUGCAGUGGGGAAUAUUGCACAAUGGGGGAAACCCUGAUGCAGCAACGCCGCGUGAGCGAUGAAGGCCUUCGGGUCGUAAAGCUCUGUCCUAAGGGAAGAAUACUGACGGUACCUUAGGAGGAAGCCCCGGCAAACUACGUGCCAGCAGCCGCGGUAAUACGUAGGGGGCUAGCGUUAUCCGGAAUUACUGGGGGUAAAGGGUGCGUAGGCGGCCCUUCAAGUCAGAGGUGAAAGGCUACGGCUCAACCGUAGUAAGCCUUUGGAACUGGAGGGCUUGAGUGCAGGAGAGGAGAGUGGGAUUCCCAGUGUAGCAGUGAAAUGCGUAGAUAUUGGGUGGAACACCAGUUUCCAAGGCAGCUCUCUGGGCUUUAACUGACGCUGAGGCACGAAAGCGUGGGGAGCGAACAGGAUUAGAUACCCCGGUAGUC